ACUCCUACGGGAGGCAGCAGUAGGGAAUUUUCCGCAAUGGGCGAAAGCCUGACGGAGCAAUACCGCGUGAGGGAUGACGGCCUGUGGGUUGUAAACCUCUUUUCUCAAGGAAGAAGUUCUGACGGUACUUGAGGAAUAAGCAUCGGCUAACUCUGUGCCAGCAGCCGCGGUAAUAC
rnacentral:rRNA from 1 species